AUAGAAUUUAAAGGCUGAAUUCGAAAAUUGACAAUGAGAAAAGGAGCAAAUUAAAUCACGCGUAACAGAAGGAGGAUCAAAAGAGCAAAUUAUCCAAAUCGCUCAAGCACUGCGCAGCAACAUGGAUUGAACUAAAACAGCAUUAAAAUAUAUUGCCUAAUUUAAAAAUAUAAAAAAACUGAUUUAAUCAACUAAAAAACAAAGGACCAACAGUGCAAAUGGCCCAUUUUGAAUCCUAUAAAAUCCCAUUUUAAAACCCUAAACUCAUUUCCCCUCAUCCCCUCUUCUGGUGCGCCGCAAAUUCUCUCAAAGUCCCCUUCUCUGCUGCUCCGACUCCGACCAGGCAACGGCGAAAAGAAGCCUUCAAUCACCUCCAAAAAACAGUGUGUAGGCGUUGUGCGGGAGUUGCUACGACGUGGGGCGUUAUUGCGAGGGAAGAACGUGGGCAGUUGCGGUGUGCAAGGACGACGUGGGGCAAGCAGUCUCGGCUAUCUGUUGCUUAAGGUUUCUGUGACUUUAGGCCAGUUGGGCCCUGCAAUUGGGUCAAAAAAAUGGGCUUAUAAUUCGGUUAUUGGGUUGGGGUGUUAUAGGGUUUAAAAUUGGGUCUGUAAUUUAUUGUAUUUUUAUCUUCAAGUUUAUGCAUUUGGGCCCGGGCUAAAAUGGCCUAUUACAGUAAUAUUUUGAAAUAAAAAGAAAACUCACUUAAUAGUUAAAAAAUAA